UACGUGAGGGUGCAAGCGUUUAAUCGGAAUACUGGGCGUAAAGCGUGCGCAGGCGGUGAUGUAAGACAGAUGUGAAAUCCCCGGGCUCAACCUGGGAACUGCAUUUGUGACUGCAUCGCUGGAGUGCGGCAGAGGGGGAUGGAAUUCCGCGUGUAGCAGUGAAAUGCGUAGAUAUCUGGAGGAACACCGGUGGCGAAGGCGGCAUCCUGGACCGGCAUUGACGCUGAGGAGCGAAAGCGUGGGGAGCGAACAGG
rnacentral:rRNA from 1 species